rnacentral:rRNA from 1 species
CAUUAUCGAAUAAACUUGAACAGGUUGUUGCUGGUCCUCUGGGCAUGUGCACACUUGUCCAUCUUUAUCAUUUCUCCAACUUGUGCACUUAUUGUAGACCAUUAGAUUUGGGGACUGCUGUGCUUUUCAUCAGUUGGCUUUCCCUUUCUUUUAUACCAUUCAAGGUCUAUAUGAUUUUCACAAUCUCAUAAAUGUCGAAUGUAAAAAAUAAAAAAAAUAUAUACAACUUUCAGCAACGGAUCUCUUGGCUCUCGCAUCGAUGAAGAACGCAGCGAAAUGCGAUAAGUAAUGUGAAUUGCAGAAUUCAGUGAAUCAUCGAAUUUUUGAACGCAUCUUGCGCUCCUUGGUAUUCCAAGGAGCAUGCCUGUUUGAGUGUCAUCAAGUUCUCAACCACAUAUUUUUUGUGGCUUGGAUUGUGGGAGUGUUGCCGGCUUUUAUACAAGCAGGCUCUCCUUAAAUGCAUAAGUGGUGUUUAGAAAAGCUACGUGUUUGGGUGUUAUAAAUUGAUAAUACACCUUUUUGGCAAUUCUACUAUACUGCUUCCAACCCUUUGUUUUGAUGAUUUUG